GGGCAGUGUGGGUGGGUGGCAGUGUGUGGGUCUGCACAAAUGUGUCUGGAUAUGCAGCACAUGGGCUGGUGUGUAAAUCCACCGUGUGUGAUUCUACUCACAGAUGACAGGAAGGGCUAAGUGUGAGCUUGCACGUGUGUGUGCAGGUGUGCUACUCUGGGGAGAUAGGAUCAAAUGGAGCCCCAGAGUCUGAAAUAAGAAGAGAGGAUAAUUUUUGCAGUGAAAGCAUUCCCUUCACAGUGGAGGGUUGGAAAACAAAUGGCUCUUCCAAAACAAACGGGGUUCGUUGGCCUCAGCACUGGAGAGAACUGCCAAGAGGCUGCUGGGCACAGGGCAUUUGUGCAUCCAAGAGCAAACAGGAGACUACACCUGGGGCUUCUCAAAGAUACACAAAGAGACAGUGAGAGGCAGCAGCAGGAGCCCACAAAGACGUGGACAAAUCAUGAGGCCACUAACCACUGAAAAGACCUGGGACAAGGUUCAGCAGCAUCUGGCAAAUGUAGAAUCUGCUCAAAAAAUGUUUAUGGAAGAAGAAAAAAAUCACAAAACCUUGAGGAAAGAAAGAAGACAGGCAGCAACCCUGUGAGACCCUUACCUCAGGAGAGGGAAGCAGGAAACAUAAGGAGACAUUUAUUUUAAGUAAACUAUAAAUAUCAGACUACAACAAAUUAA